rnacentral:rRNA from 1 species
UACGGAGGGGGCGAGCGUUAUUCGGAAUUAUUGGGCGUAAAGGGCGCGUAGGCGGCUGUGUAAGUCAAAGGUGAAAUCCCUCGGCUCAACUGAGGAACUGCCUUUGAAACUGCUCAGCUUGAGGCCGGGAGGGGGUGGUGGAAUUCCCAGUGUAGCGGUGAAAUGCGUAGAUAUUGGGAGGAACACCAGUGGCGAAGGCGGCCACCUGGACCGGUUCUGACGCUGAUGCGCGAAAGCGUGGGUAGCAAACAGG